rnacentral:lncRNA from 1 species
UUUUCAGAGGGCAAAUCUCUAGUUUUUAUUUUUAUUUUUGGUGGAGGGUGAACAUGGAUGUAACCCCAGAAAAAGAAGCAAGAGCGAGUCCAUCAGGGAAGGAAAGCAAAUAAAAUGAACCUGUAACUGAGCUGGCAGUACCUUCGCCGCAGACAAAGCCAGCUGCUCAAUCUCCAGGUCCUCUGCAGACAGGCUGUGUGCAGUCCUACAACUCAGGAAAGUCUGGAGGUGGGAGAAGAAAUGCAAGUAAUUUAAGCAGUGUCUCUUCUUCUCCUAUCUUUCAUUGUAAGUGUCCACCCCUGGUGAAUUAAGUCUCCUGCACCCUGGAUGUUCCCAGGCUCUUCUGAGUAGUGGGGAGGCGGAGUCCCUGAAAGCAGGCAGAUGCAGGUACAGCAGUCUCUCCUUGUCAAUGGCUGCCAUAAAGGACCCCAAAGUAUAUGUCAGCAGACAGACAGCAGCCUGGGCUUUCACCCAUGGAAAGAGAGUCAAUUGUCACACUGUGAAUCUGAGGCCCAGGGGCUGGACAGGGCCAAGCUGACCUUGAACAGUGAAUAAAAAGGACCUGGGACAACUGCAGACCAUGUGCUCAUAAAAUUUUUAUGUGACCAUAAUCUUUCUGUUGAAUUCAUGCUUCUUCUAUGUCUUUUAAGUUUCUGCCCAACUGUAUUCUAGAAAGGGUGAAAUAUUUCUAUUCAGAAAUUCAUUGAACUGCUAUCUUCCAAGGAUAUUGACCUAUACCCUUGAGGCUAAGUAUAUCUGCUGUAGAAAAAUGCAUCUGUUCAACUAUUUGAUAUAAAAAUUAGAUUUUUUUUAAAUUAACCUGUAAAACUGUAAACUUAAAAACUACUUCAAUAACAGGAAGUUCAACACUUUCUGACCUUGUGAUAAUUAACCAUGACCCCUGUGACUGUGUUAUAAUAUUUCUUUAUUCAGAACGUGCCUAAGGG